rnacentral:rRNA from 1 species
UACAGAGGAGCCAAGCGUUGUCCGGAUUGACUGGGCGUAAAGCGCACGCAGGCGGACGCGCGCGUGGGGUGUGAAAUCUGGCCGCUUAACGGCCAGGCGCCAUCCCAUACGGCGGGUCUGGAGUGAUGCAGAGGGCGGUGGAAUUGCCGGUGUAGUGGUGAAAUGCGUAGAGAUCGGCAGGAACACCCAGGGGGAAACCAGCCGCCUGGGCAUCGACUGACGCUGAGGUGCGAGAGCGUGGAGAGCGAACCGG